GUUUGAGAAGCAAAUUACUGUUCUGGUCAUUAUUAGAGUUUACUUUCUAACUCUGUGAUCUCCACAUAAACUUAUGUGAUGUGCCAACCAUCUAUAGAAAAGUAAAUGAUCUAAACUUCUUAGUU